GAGGUGGAAGUGCAGCAAUGGAUGGAGCUGACCGCCACUAAUAGGUCGAAGGCUUGACCGC
rnacentral:rRNA from 1 species